UGGGGAAUCUUGCGCAAUGGACGAAAGUCUGACGCAGCGAUCUCGCGUGAAGGAUGAAGCUUUGCGGAGUGUAAACUUCUUUUCUGGGAGAAAACAACUGAUGGUAUCUCAGGAAUAAGGGACGGCUAACUACGUGCCAGCAGCCGCGGUAAUACGUAGGUCCCAAGCGUUAUCCGGAUUUACUGGGCGUAAAGCGUCCGUAGCCGGCUUUGUAAGUCCGCUUUCAAAACCCGAAGCUCAACUUCGGAUCGGGAGUAGAUACUGCAAAACUAGAGAAAGAUAGAGGUAUGUAGAAUUUCAGGUGGAGGGGUGAAAUCCGUUGAUAUCUGAAGGAAUACCAAAAGCGAAGGCAGCAUGCUAUAUCUUUUCUGACGGUCAAGGACGAAAGUGUGGGGAGCGA
rnacentral:rRNA from 1 species